rnacentral:misc_RNA from 1 species
UUGAAAUCUCAACUGAACUAUAUAUACAACAGAGUAAAUUCAGGUAUCCAAACUACAGGAUACCAUAGUAUAUACCUAAACAAAAAUCUAUUUGUAAGAGAUUACAAAAAGAAGAAAAAAAAUCCCCUUGUGGUAUAGUAUGUCUAGGGAUACACUCUAAACUACAUCAGAAUCUUGAGUCCAUAAUAAUCUUUACAACAAAAGAAAGCUUCAG